rnacentral:rRNA from 1 species
AUGAAGGAUUAUUUGCCAAAUGCAGAGCACAGAAUGUGUGCUAGGCAUAUCUAUGCCAACUGGAGGAAGAAGCAUAGGGAACAUCAGUGGCAGAAGAAGUUCUGGGCAGUUGCCAAAGCAGCAAACAAGCAGGACUUCAACUACUAUAAAGCAAAGCUUGCCCAAGAAACUCCAGAAGGUGCAAAAGACAUCAUGAGAACAGAGCCAGUGCACUGGGCAAGGGCUUUUUUCCAGUGGGAUCCAAUUGUGAGUCUGUUGAUAAUAAUUUGUGUGAAUCCUUCAAUCAUGCAAUUGUUGAAGCAAGGUUUUAUCCAAUAA